GUGCUCCCCACAGGCCUAUGUGUUACAGUCCCCAGUUUGGCAUUAUUGUAAUGGAGAACUGACUGUGCCAACUAAUCAUAGUCACCAACAUGACUUGAAUUAAAAGACUCCUAGAGAAGUGAAUGGAUCAUAGGAGCACUCUCUCAUUACUUGGCUGGAAAAAUACACCGAUGUUCAAAGCUAAUUAUGUUGCUAAAAGAUGGGGCCUAGUUGGAGAUCAGAAAAAAGAAAAGGAUGGACACUCUCAUUUGUUCUAUUCAGCAUUAUACUGAAAGCUUUGGUCAGUACAAUCGAGCAAAAAUAAGAAAAAGAUGGGGUAGGAAAGAAGGAAGGAAGGAAAGCAGGCAGGCAG